rnacentral:rRNA from 1 species
UACGGGGGGGGCAAGCGUUGUUCGGAAUUACUGGGCGUAAAGGGCGCGUAGGCGGGUGGACAAGUCUCUCGUGAAAGCCCACGGCUCAACCGUGGAAUUGCGGGAGAUACUGUCUGUCUUGAGUCCGGGAGAGGAGGGUGGAAUUCCCAGUGGAGCGGUGAAAUGCGUAGAUAUUGGGAGGAGCACCGGUGGCGAAGGCGGCUCUCUGGACCGGUACUGACGCUGAGGCGCGAAAGCUAGGGGGGCAAGCGGG